CGUUCCCGGGUCUUGUACACACCGCCCGUCACACCACGAAAGUCGGCAACACCCGAAGCCGGUGGCCUAACCCGCAAGGGAGGGAGCCGUCGAAGGUGGGGCUGGUGAUUGGGGUG
rnacentral:rRNA from 1 species